rnacentral:rRNA from 1 species
GACGAACGCUGGCGGCGUGCUUAACACAUGCAAGUCGAACGGUAAGGCCCUUCGGGGUACACGAGUGGCGAACGGGUGAGUAACACGUGGGUGAUCUGCCCUGCACUUCGGGAUAAGCCUGGGAAACUGGGUCUAAUACCGGAUAGGACCUCGGGAUGCAUGUCCUGUGGUGGAAAGCUUUUGCGGUGUGGGAUGGGCCCGCGGCCUAUCAGCUUGUUGGUGGGGUGAUGGCCUACCAAGGCGACGACGGGUAGCCGGUCUGAGAGGGUGACCGGCCACACUGGGACUGAGAUACGGCCCAAACUCCUACGGGAGGCAGCAGUGGGGAAUAUUGCACAAUGGGCGCAAGCCUGAUGCAGCGACGCCGCGUGAGGGAUGACGGCCUUCGGGUUGUAAACCUCUUUCAGCACCGACGAAGCGCAAGUGACGGUAGGUGCGGAAGAAGGACCGGCCAACUACGUGCCAGCAGCCGCGGUAA